UGCCCUCCAUACUACACCUCCUUUCCUAUUUCUCCCCCAUUUUUGACCUAGCCGAAAACUUGUGUGCUCACUCUUUUUUAAGUAUUUUUCGGUUUCUGUCAUUUCCAAAUGAUCUUUUAAUUGAAACCCACUACUUUCUCAUCCAUCUCGAUCAUUGCAAAUCAUACUCAGUUUCUAGUUUUUUAUUUAAUUUGCUGAUUUUUUAUUCGAUCAUCGGCGCUUUCUUGAUGUUUUAACAUCGAUUCUUGGUGGGUUACACUCAUUUUCGGGUGGAGUGACUGAACUGCUUGAGAUUGGUUGUACAUGAAGGCGUUAGAGUUCAGAUCCAAAGUUUUUGGGUAAAGCCCAAACAAGGUAAAGUCUUGAAAGAAUGUGGUGGAAACCUAAUUAAAGCCCAAUCCAAAUCCACAUCAGGUGAUAGAUCUGAGAGAGAUUCAGAGAAGAGGCCUAGUUCUACGAAAUUUCUUAAUGUCUUAAAAUAAACUUUUUUUUUUUAGGAUUUGUAUAUUUUUAAGAUAAUUAUAACUUUAUCACAAUUUUAAGGGAAACUUUUAUAAAUGUAACCAAAUAUCAAAUUAUUUACGGCUCAUGUAACAAAAUCCAUAAAGGUAGCUAUUUUUUAAAUA